rnacentral:rRNA from 1 species
UACAUAGGUCUCAAGCGUUGUUCGGAUUCAUUGGGCGUAAAGGGUGCGUAGGCGGCGCGGUAAGUCAGUGGUGAAAUAUGGCAGCUUAACUGUCAGGGUGCCAUUGAUACUGCGGAGCUUGAGUACAGAUGAGGUAGGCGGAAUUGACGGUGUAGCGGUGAAAUGCUUAGAUAUCGUCAAGAACACCUAUAGCGAAGGCAGCUUACUAGGCUGUAACUGACGCUGAGGCACGAAAGUGUGGGGAUCAAACAGG